UCGCCUGUUUAUCAAAAACAUCGCCUCCUGCCACCACUAAUUAUAGGAGGUCCCGCCUGCCCUGUGACCAAAAGUUUAACGGCCGCGGUAUUUUAACCGUGCAAAGGUAGCGCAAUCAAUUGUCUUUUAAAUGGAGACCUGUAUGAAUGGCAUAACGAGGGUUUAACUGUCUCUUUUUCCCGGUCAAUGAAACUGAUCUACCCGUGCAGAAGCGGGUAUACACACACAAGACGAGAAGACCCUAUGGAGCUUUAGACGCCAACCAACCACGAAAAGCGGCCGCUAACUGGACCCUCAAACAACGUGAUUAUGGCACAAGCGUCUUCGGUUGGGGCGACCACGGGAGAUAACAAAGCUCCCGAGUGGAUAGGGGGACACCCUAAAACCCAGAGCCACAGCUCUAAGUCACAAAACAUUUGACCAAUAAUGAUCCGGCUUUAUGCCGACCAACGAACCAAGUUACCCUAGGGAUAACAGCGCAAUCCCCUCCCAGAGUCCAUAUCGACGAGGGGGUUUACGACCUCGAUGUUGGAUCAGGACAUCCUAAUGGUGCAGCCGCUAUUAAGGGUUCGUUUGUUCAACGAUUAAAGUCCUACGUGAUCUGAGUUCAGACCGG
rnacentral:rRNA from 1 species